CCUACGGGGGGCAGCAGUGGGGGAUAUUGCACAAUGGGGGGAACCCUGAUGCAGCGACGCCGCGUGGGUGAAGAAGCGCCUCGGCGCGUAAAGCCCUGUCAGCAGGGAAGAAAAUGACGGUACCUGAUGAAGAAGCCCCGGCUAACUACGUGCCAGCAGCCGCGGUAAUACGUAGGGGGCAAGCGUUAUCCGGAUUUACUGGGUGUAAGGGGGGCGCAGACGGCGAUGCAAGCUAGGAGUGAAAGCCCGGGGCCCAACCCCGGGACUGCUCUUGGAACUGCGUGGCUGGAGUGCAGGAGGGGCAGGCGGAAUUCCUGGUGUAGCGGUGAAAUGCGUAGAUAUCAGGAGGAACACCGGUGGCGAAGGCGGCCUGCUGGACUGCAACUGACGUUGAGGCCCGAAAGCGUGGGGAGCAAACAGGAUUAGAUACCCUAGUAGUC
rnacentral:rRNA from 1 species